rnacentral:rRNA from 1 species
ACCUACGGGGGGCAGCAGUGAGGAAUAUUGGUCAAUGGGCGAGAGCCUGAACCAGCCAAGUCGCGUGAAGGAUGACGGCCCUAUGGGUUGUAAACUUCUUUUGUCAGGGAGCAAUUGGGUCCACGCGUGGGCUUAGCGAGAGUACCUGAAGAAAAAGCAUCGGCUAACUCCGUGCCAGCAGCCGCGGUAAUACGUAGGGGGCAAGCGUUAUCCGGAUUUACUGGGUGUAAAGGGAGCGUAGACGGCAGCGCAAGUCUGGAGUGAAAUGCCGGGGCCCAACCCCGGAACUGCUUUGGAAACUGUGC